rnacentral:rRNA from 1 species
UACGGAGGAGGCAAGCGUUAUCCGGAAUUAUUGGGCGUAAAGCGUCCGCAGGUGGCACUUCAGGUCUGUCGUCAAAGACUGGGGCUUAACCCUGGAAAGGCGGUGGAAAUUGAAGCGCUAGAGUGCGGUAGGGGUAGAGGGAAUUCCCGGUGUAGCGGUGAAAUGCGUAGAGAUCGGGAAGAACAUCGGUGGCGAAAGCGCUCUACUGGACCGCAACUGACACUCAGGGACGAAAGCUAGGGGAGCGAAUGGG